GUUGGGUAGUAGAUGUCUAGCAUUCCCAACUUGCUUUUCAUGUUUUCGUAGGUGGCCUUUGGAAGUGCCUUUGUCAGAAUGUCUGCUGUUUGACGACUUGAAGGAAUAUACAUAAGUCUGAUUGUUCCCCCUUCAAGUUUCUCCUUGAUGAAGUGACGGUCUAUCUCCACGUGCUUGGUUCUGUCGUGUUGAACUGGAUUCUUUGCAAUACUUAUGGUAGCCUUGUUAUCACACAAAACUGUCAUAGUGGAGUUUGAUAUAAUUCCAAGUUCCUUGAGUAUUCUUUGGAGCCACAUUCCUUCACAUAUCCCAUGAGCCAUUGCCCUGAAUUCUGCCUCUGCACUGCUUCUCGCCACUACGGAUUGCUUCUUGCUUCUCCAAGUCACUAAGUUUCCCCACACAUAGGAACAAUACCCAGUAGUUGACCUCCGAUCUGUCAAGGAUCUUGCCCAAUCAGCAUCUGUGAAUACCUCAACUUCCCUACUUGAGGUUUUCUUGAAGUAGAGUCCUCUACCCGGGCUCUUUUUAAGGUACUGUAAAAUUCUGUAUACGGCUUUCAUGUGUCUUUCAGUGGGAUUGUUCAUGUAGCGGCUUACCAUGCUCACAGCGAAACCAAUAUCGGGCCUUGUGUGAGUUAAGUAGAUCAACUUUCCUACUAACCUCUGGUACCUGUCUUUGUCAGUUGGAUGACUGUCAUUAUCUUUAUCAAUCUUACCAAUAGGAUCCAUAGGCGUGUCCACUGGCUUACAACCUAGCAUUCCAGUCUCCUGAAGUAGAUCAAGGACAUACUUCCUUUGCGUGACCACAAUUCCCUCCUUAGUUCUGCCAAUUUCCAUGCCAAGAAAGUAUCUGAGUUGUCAAAGAUCUUUGAUUUCAAAUUCUCUUGCUAGCAGCUUCUUGAGAUUCCCUAUCCCUUCUUCAUCGUCUCCGGUAAUUAUAAUAUCAUCAACAUAGACAAUGAACAAAGUCAUUUCACCUUCCUUAGAGUGCUUCAUAAACAGUGUGUGAUCUGCUUGACAUUGGAUGAACCCAUGUUUUUUCACAACUCUAGUCAGUCGAUCAAACCAGGCCCUAGGUGACUGUUUUAGACCGUAUAAGGACUUUCUCAGUUUACACACUUUUCCUGAAUUUUCUGGAGUUUCCAUACUAGGUGGAAUCUUCAUGUAGACUUCCUCUUCUAGUUCUCCGUUGAGAAAUGCAUUUUUGACAUCAAGUUGGUGCAGAUUCCAGUCCAAAUUUACUGCAACUGACAAUAACACUCUGAUGGAGUUGAGCUUUGCUACUGGUGCAAAUGUCUCUUCAUAAUCAAUGCCAUAGGAUUGAGUAAAUCCUUUAGCUACUAGUCGAGCCUUGAACCUGUUUAUACUUCCAUCUGGAUUGUGCUUCACGGUAAAUAUUCACUUGCAUCCAACAGGCCUCUUACCCUCUGGUAAUUCUGAGAUUUCCCAUGUCCCAUUUUUCUCCAAUGCUUGUAUUUCUUCCUGAACAGCAGUCUUCCAUUUAGGAUGUUGAAGUGCUUCUUGGAUGUUGGAUGGGAUACGAUCAUCUUCAAGAGAAGUGAUGAACGCUUGGAAAUUCUGUGAAAGCUUUCCAUAGGACACAUGAUUACUGAUUGGAUGCUGAGUGCAGGAUCUUACACCUUUCCUUAAAGCAAUGGGUUGAUCAAGAUCAUCAAGGUCAUUAUUGGAAUUUAGAUCAUAAAUUGUGUUACCUGGUUGUGAGUUUGGGUUGCUUGGAUCCUGGUCCAAUUCUUGGUUCUGCUCAGUUGACUCAGGUAUGACAGAAGGGACAUCCAAGGAAUUGUUUUCGGGGACAGAAAGAGUAGUAUCUGUUUGAGGAGGCAGUGAUGAACUCAAAGGAGAAGUAGUGCUGAUUUCGGUUUCCCAGAAUUGGAAUUCAUCUGUGGACCAGUUCUCCCCCUGAAUUGCAAUUUUGGGGUAGAAGGGUUGAUUUUCGAAGAAAGUGACAUCCAUGGAAGUGUAGAAUUUCUUGGUUGGAGAGUAGCACUUGUAUCCUUUUUGGUUUGGUGAGUACCCGAGAAAGAUGCAUUUAGUGGCUGUCGUAUCAAGUUUACUACGUAGGGACUUAUGGAUGUGAACGAAAGCAGUACAACCAAAGACUUUGAUUGGGAUAGACGAGAUUAUUCGAGCGGAUGGAUAUGCAACGAGGAGGAUUUGACACGGGGUUUUAAAAUGAAGAAUCCUAGAAGGCAUUCGGUUGAUCAAGUAGGUUGCUGUGAGUACAGCUUCACCCCAUAAUUGUUUAGGCACGUUUGAAGCUAUCAUGAGGGAUCGUGCAACCUCCAUCAAAUGUCUAUUUUUCCUUUCUACAACUCCAUUUUGCUGUGGAGUAUCAAUGCACGAGCUUUGAUGUACAAUGCCAUUCUCCAGAAGAUAUGACCCAAGAGUGUUGUGAUAGUAUUCUCGAGCAUUAUCUGUCCGAAGGACUUGAAUUUUUGCCUGAAACUGUGUCUGAACCAUGUUGUUGAAGUUUUCAAAUAUUUCCCUCACUUCUGAUUUCUUUUUCAUAAGGAAUACCCAAGUCACUCGAGUGUGGUCAUCAACAAAGGUGACAAACCAUCUAGAACCUGUAAUGUUGUUGAUUCUAGAGGCCCCCCAAACAUCACUGUGAAUCAAGGAAAAAAGAUGAGAUGGUUUGUAUGGUUGAAUGGAAUAGGAGUUGCGAGUAUGUUUGGACAAUUGACAUAUUUCGCAUUGAAA